AUUUUAGGACUCAAUAAAUAAGAAGUGAUAAGGUUUAUGACUCAAUUAGCAAAAUUGAAAGAUUUAAGAUUCAAUUGGCAAAAAUGUAACAGGUUUAGGACUUUUUAAACAAUCUUCCUAGGAUGAAGUAGAGUACGACGAGCGAACCCAAAUCGUAUUGCGUGGCAUUGGUCCAACAAAUGAACUUAGAUUAGAUCGAGUCCGGGCGAAGAAUUUCACCUUUUGGUUUCCAGAAAAACAAAUCAGGUAUGUAGCACAUGAUUGCUGGAGAGGGUCAAACCAUAUCACCCUUUUUCUUUUUUAUAGUUCAUUAUGACCAAUGAAUGCGCUUCAUCAUUUUGUACUGAGGUCCCCUCCUCGCCCUUUUUAACGUUUAUACAAAUCUUUUCAAGUUAAAUGGGACAUGAUUAUGCUGGAACACCACCAUGCCGAUCCCUCCAUCACAAUUCAAAGUUCUAAGCAAAAUUCAACGCACCCGAAUCCUUAAAAAGCCCUUCUUCCCCAGAAUUCUGUCUGCUCUGAGGUGAGAGCAGAUGCAGGAAAUGCCAAAGGCGAAGCAGUCAGACGGAGUUUCUCUCUUCUCGGGAUGACAUUGGCCUAAUCGUGAUCGUGCAUAGCAUUUCCAUGUGUUGAAUAGGAGAAGAAAGAAGAUUAGCACACCAAAGACCGUAUCGUAAUUCCACUCCAAUCUCGGUAAGUAUCAUUACAUCAGAAACCAAAUACAAAGACCAAAAAGAUUGUCCUAUAUGAUAUGCACACCACAAAUGUUGGGGCCAAAAAAUAAAAUCAAACGGCAGUCCCUAUGGACUGGUGGCUCCUCCUUUCUUUUUUUUUUUCUUUUUUCUUUUUCUUGGUUCUCUAUUUUUCGGUUAUGAUCAUCUAUUGUAGGUAGGCUGUGGGCGAUUUGCCGAUUGAUAAUUACACUCUGGCUAUAAGGAUUUAUGUAGCAGGUUCUGUACAAACCAAAAAUCAACAGAAAAAACUGAAUAGGAGUUGUUUCACCUUGAAACAACAUCUGGCGGAGAAAAACGAGAAAUCACAAAGGGAAUGACACACUUCUAAAAGCACACUUGGUCACGGGUAGUGACUUCCGACAAGCUCUCAAACUGUCAGGAUUGCAGAAUGUGCCAUAACAUUCUGGAUCCCAAUCAGGGGGGGCUUUCAAAUGCAGACUCAAGAUGCCUUUUUUUGUAAAACUUUAGGCCUGAGUGGCUGCAUUGGGAAAAAAAUUGGAUCUUGAACAGGACUAGAAAACUUACUAUAGGCGGGAUCAGCCAAGCAAAACAAAAAGGUGUCUGGGGUGUGUUUGGUACUCUGGUUACUGAAGUUGGAUUAACAUGGUCGGUCACAGACUCUGGAGGAGAGCUCUUUUGCAGGGCGGCUGAUAAGCCGAAUUAGUUGGAGAAGAUGUAGGAAGCGAAUCCAUGCCAAACGUUCUCAGAAGGAAGUGUCUCUCCUGAAAAAGGAAACGCAAAUAAGCAUUUAGUCUCAUACCACUUUAGAGAUCCUAGCUAUGGGCUAUGCAAAUGAAUUCAUUAUGGAAAACUAAUGUUGGAAUGCAACAGGACCAUAUCCACUCUAAAGCCUAAUGAGCAAUCUUUACCGGUAGAAAGCAUGACACGUAACAAGCAAUAAACACGUUUUCGUCUUUUCUUUUCCUCAUUUUAGCUUUUCUAUCAUGUACUUUGUGUUUGGGGGGAAAGGAGGGAGAGAGUGAGUCUUGCCACAUGCCAAAGCUUAUUCUGGGAUUUAGGGAAAAAUUUCCUGUCUGUUUCUAUUCCGGUUUACAUAAUUGUGGAUUCGCACUUAGAAGCGUGGUCUAGGAACAAUCGGGAUCUAUUCGACCUUACUGAGCUCCCUUUGAACGCUCAUUGACAUUUAGACAGCAGGCAUCAACCAAGACCAAGGGUUGGUCCAAUUGGCGGAGAAUAUCCUUCUCCAGGCACAAGAUAAAAACCAGUGCUCCUGCUUUUUCGUAAAAAUUACGAGGCAUCAACUAUUUCAUACCUAUUUAAAGUUAAGUGGAAAUGAAGAGCAGUUUUGUCCUGAUGGUAAUCUAGUCCAGUUCAUUGUGUAUACAACAGUGCUUGUUUCUGCAUUUCACAUUCACUUCUGAAAUAUUUAAGUAAAUUUGUUCCUCUAAUGUAUACCAUGUAGAUAUUCUAAUCAAGGAAACUCAAAGUCCAGUACCCUAUGGAACAAAGAGGCAUAUUCAACAAUGUGAUCUUAAAAAUCGUGUGUAGGAACUGUGAUAUCUCGGUUCUGCUAGCAUUAGCGUGGAUUAUAAUGUUUCUAAGCAGACAUGAGUUCCAUUCUCAGGAUGGAUGACCCUAACCAUCCCCCUCUAUCUCUCAAUUGAAAUAUAAUUCCCUUUCAAAGUGAUCAGGUCAGAAAAUCUCUUUUCAUAACGAGAUACAUAAUUCCUCCGAGCUCUGUUCAUUGCUUAUCUUCUCUAAUAUGUCAAGACAUGAGGGGCUGUUCUAGCCCUUUGCCUUUAGUACCACAUUUUCGACUUACACUCUUUUGGAACCUGAUGCGGUAGAAGAAUAUGGAUAAAAUUUCAUUUACCACACAUAUUUGUUUUACAUGAGUAUCAGUAUGUAUGAAUGAGGGCAUGGAUCUGAGAUACUGCGAAUUCGAAACUAUCGAAGUUCAUGGAAUUAUUCCAGAACUGAGAGAUCCUUUUCAGCCAGUUAAAGUUUCAGUCCACCUCCUUUCAUGGUUUUCAAAGUAGUAGUGCAUUCAGCGAACAUCCUAAAAUGCUGAAAUUUGGUCAUGGACUUAAAUCAGCAAAAAUAAGUUGAAAGGGAACUUACACUUUCUGAAAAUUUUGGCGUGGGAAUUCCUGCUGCUAAGGAUCUGAACAGUGGGGUUACAUGAACAGGAGAGCUACAUUCUGUAUUUGAUGAGACAGAAACAACUCCAGCGGUGGUUAUGUGCUCGUCGCAAGAUUGGAAAGUACCUGAUGCAGAAAGAUGAAUGUUCUUGUCAGCUAAACCGAAUACAGAAUAGUAAUAUACGCAUGAUAAGAUCUAGGUUUUUGCAGAGUAAACAACCUCCAUGAGUAACUGAGCUGGAAAGAAUCCCUUUACAGCAGUUAUCGACUCCACCUUGUUCAUCAGAGUGGCUAUUUCGUAGUUCAGUUUCAAUAGCUUUAUGCAGUGCAACUUCUUCAGCUUGAGGUUCUUCCGCUUUAUCAUAAACAGUAUGAGUCGAAAUAGUAGAAGCUGUGCUAUACUCUGAGCUGGCUGGAGACUCCUCACACAGAUCGGGUUGCCUACAAUAUAAGUACUGUUAGGCAGUGUUUGGAGUAGAGAGAUACAAAAGUUUGAGUGUUUUACAGUUCUUAUACUUUCAAUAUUUCUUAUCUACAUUGAUUACCUCCAAGAUGUUUGGCUUCCCUCAUUGCUGCUCCUGAGGUCCUCCACCAUGACUUUGAAAUCUUCGAAUUGGAGAUCAGUGUCGGUGAUGCAAUCGUGGAGAAUUUCAGCAUCCUUCUUGUGGCUCAAAAAUUCCUGGAGAACCUGAGUUCCAUAACUCCUGAAAAUCAGUGAAUAGACGCAGAAAGAGGACAGUAUUUUUUCUUGAUUAGAUGGGGUAAUUUCAGUAAUCAAGUAUGAUUGAGCAGCCAUCCUGCUUUUACCAGCAUCACUUCCAUGGCAACUGAUUUAACGUUAAAAGGAUCAGGUGAUGGGUUAUUCAAUUGAAAAAGAUGUUCUUUUGGGGAAGAGUUCGAUCUACUUCAUCAAUGAACUUCAUCUAUCAGGGCUUGCUUAAGCCAUUAAACUUACUGCCAUCAGCGAUCUUGCCAAAAAUACCAAAGCGAACGUGAUGUACUCACCUUCCAAGCAUUUUCAAGACUCUGUUCCAUGUUAUCUGCAUUGACUUUCAGCGCAAGGGAACUGAGCAGUUCAGCUUGUUGAAUCAGAGCAGUAACUUUUGGAUCAUCCUUUCUAAGAAAUGUUCCUUGGACUUUUGUUCCAUGAGCUGCUCAAAGAUCAGAGAGGAAUGUAGCCUUAGCAUAUGUGGGUUUAACAGACAAGUUCGACGACUAGUGGCACAGCUUAUGACCAAAGUUUUUGUAAAAAUAGUCUCGUUUGACUGAAUUAAAGACGAUGGCCUUUUCUGAGAAUCAUGUAUUGAGUUUGCAUGUCAUGUCUUUUUAUCUCGUGUGACUAUAUUAAAGAUGAUGCUCUUUUCAA